CAUAAACAUCGGGAAAAAAAAGAAGAAUAGGAGGUAGUGUUUGUAUAUAAAUAGGACCUUGUAUUGAGACAUAUUGCAUUUUUUAGUUUAUGGUCAAAAUCAAAAUUCAUCCAUUUUACAAAACUUAAAGAAGAUUGAUAGAUCUAUGGAUUUGAGAAGCUCUUCUUCAUCAUCUUCACUAUCUUAUACAUCAGAUUUGACAACUGAGAUUUCACUUUUUCUACCAACUGAAGAAAAUACUCCUAAGGAAACAAAGGGACCAAUAAUAAAUAAGGCCAUGACUCUCAUAGGAUGUCCAGGUUGCUUCUUGUAUGUUAUUUCAUCAGAAGAGAAUCCAAAUUGCCCUAAGUGCAACACUACCUCGUUUCUAAUAAUUGAGUGGUGAAGAAUACUGCAAGAAUAAACUUUUCUGAUUUAUGGUUAUGUAAAAAAUAAAGAGGCUAUAUGUCUUAGUCAAAUUAUUACUACUCCUAUCUUUUUAUUUUCUGCUAGAUAUACCCGUACUACUACUUAUUAAAAAUAUUAUCCUCAAAAUUAUCUUUUUCAUUUGUUUUCUUUCUAUAGGCAAAAAAAUAUAACUUAAGGGAGUGGACAUUUCCU